rnacentral:lncRNA from 1 species
GAGCUUGUCUUGUCCUCUUGCCCUGGCCACAGCCGGGAAGCCCUGGGCAGGCGCCCGUGGAUAGCUGGCACGCUCAGCCUUUGGUGGAGAACUGAGAAAGUCUGAAGCAGGAAGGUGGAAAAACAUUUCGUGCUCAGGGAGGAAACGUCUUCACCCCGGUUUACAGAUUCCUUGGUGGUCCACAGACCCUGGAGUAAGAAUCUCUGCCCUAGGGGAUGACAGGACUGUAAAAGGAAGGGACCUGGGUCCCUGAAUCACACGGGGGAAGUCACCUGCUGAAUCAGAACGCCUCAACAGCUAGCUAGCCAAGAAAUAAACGGAGAGCGUGGCAACCCACA